rnacentral:rRNA from 1 species
CUUAACUAAAGAGUGACGGGCGAUUUGUGCAUGUUUAAUUUCUUUUAUUUAAGAUUAGAUUCAUUUUUCUUUUCUUGGUGAUAAGUCCUCUUUCUUAUUCUUUUACUUUCAUUAUUCAUUUUUUUACUUUUUUGUAUCCCAUAAAGCUCUUAGAUAUUAGCUCUGUCUUGAUUUGCUUUUAAACUUUAUAAGUUUUUCAAAAAUAGUUUUUAAACUUCUUUUAAACAAUGAUAUAGGGGCUUAAAAACUAAGUUUACUACAUCGUGGUUUAUCUAUCACGAAACAGGAUCCCCUAUGGAGUUUAAACACCGCCAUCUUUUUCUAAGUUUUGUUUAUUUAACUACUAUUUUUUAUGUUAAUAGAA